rnacentral:rRNA from 1 species
CAGCCAUCAUUUAAAGAAAGCGUAAUAGCUCACUGGUCGAGUCGGCCUGCGCGGAAGAUGUAACGGGGCUAAACCAUGCACCGAAGCUGCGGCAGCGACGCUUAUGCGUUGUUGGGUAGGGGAGCGUUCUGUAAGCCUGCGAAGGUGUGCUGUGAGGCAUGCUGGAGGUAUCAGAAGUGCGAAUGCUGACAUAAGUAACGAUAAAGCGGGUGAAAAGCCCGCUCGCCGGAAGACCAAGGGUUCCUGUCCAACGUUAA